UCCACAUGGUCUGGAUUUAUAUUAACCUCAGAUCCAGGCCUGGAUCCUUCCACUUACUAAAUUGGGUCAGGAUGACAUGAAAGCAAGCUCAUUUUCAAGGGUCAGCCUAAAGCUUCAUGGGUAACAGCACAGAGAGUUGACCUAAUGACUACAGCAUGGCCUAAUGAUGAAACCAUUUGGGUGGAGCAAAGAAUUUCUCAUGGCUUUAGUAACUCAUCCUCCUUGCCUUUCAACACAAACUCCCAGCCGCUCCUGAGAACGUAUUGCACAAAGAUGUUCAUCUCAGAAUGGAAAGUUGCCAAACUAGUUGUAUUAUGUAUCCCACGACUGAUCUUGCUGCGAAGCAGAAUGCAACAUGCUGAUCCAGGAGUUCCCAUCAGCAAGAACAACAGUAAAUGGUGGUCAAGGGAUGGGAGAAUGCAAUCCCUGCCAGACACUUCUGUUGCUGGCUGGAAACACCCCACAAAGAGCUUGUCUCCUGCCUUCCCAGGCAUGCAUGCGUUUCUGCCACAGGACAUAGGCUCGCACCAAAACUGGGUCUGCAUUUCAAGGCAGUUGUGAUCUGUACCUGCCUCUAGUUCCAUACAGUUGUCCAGUGUCAUCUAGAUCUCCGAUAUAAACACACACAGCAAUUUCCCGGAUGGCAACAAAAUGGGGAAAGAAGAAAACGAUCAGUGGAGAGCUAUUUUGUAGCGGCUGGUACAGGGCAAAAUGAAAAUAAAAAUGGCUAUUUUUUGCUGUG